AUUGAACGCUGGCGGCAGGCUUAACACAUGCAAGUCGAGCGGAGUGAUGGUGCUUGCACUAUCACUUAGCGGCGGACGGGUGAGUAAUGCUUAGGAAUCUGCCUAUUAGUGGGGGACAACAUCUCGAAAGGGAUGCUAAUACCGCAUACGUCCUACGGGGGAAAGCAGGGGAUCACUUGUGACCUUGCGCUAAUAGAUGAGCCUAAGUCGGAUUAGCUAGUUGGUGGGGUAAAGGCCUACCAAGGCGACGAUCUGUAGCGGGUCUGAGAGGAUGAUCCGCCACACUGGGACUGAGACACGGCCCAGACUCCUACGGGAGGCAGCAGUGGGGAAUAUUGGACAAUGGGGGGAACCCUGAUCCAGCCAUGCCGCGUGUGUGAAGAAGGCCUUAUGGUUGUAAAGCACUUUAAGCGAGGAGGAGGCUCUUUUGGUUAAUAUCCAAGAUGAGUGGACGUUACUCGCAGAAUAAGCACCGGCUAACUCUGUGCCAGCAGCCGCGGUAA
rnacentral:rRNA from 1 species